rnacentral:lncRNA from 1 species
CUGGUUUCUCCCAAAUCGUAGAACGCUGCCUGUUGGAAGAUUGCAAAAGCCCUUUUCCAAUUUCUUCGAUUUUUCCUUCACCACAAUCGCCCCUGCCCUGCGCAGCUGCACUGGCCACACAGUACACACGAAAAAUGACAGUGUCGCCUGUCGGUUCGCCCUACUCAGAUAUGGUUUAUUUUUAUAUUCUUGUAUUGUUUAUCUUUGUGACUUUGUGUGUUUGUUUAAUGGGUUAAUUUUGUUUGGUGCUUAAUAGCUUAAGUAAUGUAAAAUAAUGUAAAAGUUCUCUCUAAAAUUUGGAUUUAAGGGUUUUUUUUUUACCCCAAUUCACAACACGUGUAAGUGUAAUUAUAACUUAUAAGUUCACCAAAUUGUUUUCACUUUUCAGUGUCUAUUGACUAUUAUGAUAUAUUUAUUAUGUAUUUAAUUAGAAAUGGAUUUUCUGCCUAAAUUUGUAUUAUGUAUAGUGGUUCACUGGUUCGGAUUAGUUUUGGUCUAACACUUCCUCUUCUGACUUGUUCUACCCAGAUUUGUCCACUGUAAUAAACGAGAAAAGACGUCUGUACCCGCACACGAGAGUGACGAGACACUUCAUCCCUUCGCCCAUUUGCCAAUUCACGGCAUGUAUGUAUAAUUGUAUGUGUUAAGUGCUAACUGCUAAGUUGGCAAAUUUAUAUGUGCUAACUACUCAAUACCAUGUUUAAAAUUAAGGGUAUCAAUUUGGCGUGAAAUUGGCUUCUCCCCAUAGAUAUUGAUAGAGCGUCUAAAUUUGGAGCAGAAUUGCAGAAUUCUUUGUCCACUUGGUGAGCAAGUUCUCUGGUUGGAGCUAAUAUUAAUGCCAAAGGAUUCCUUCCUCAGGUCAGUGACUUAAGUUAAUGUUAAAUAUGUUAUGAUUUAUUCAUUUGGGAAUUAAAAAAUUGCGAAUUGUGAUUUAUGAAUUAUGAUAAGUAAUUUACGUUUUAUGAGUUAUGAUUAUUGAUUCGAGAAUUUAUGUUUACGAAAUUAUAUUUGCAAAUUGUGAUUUAUGAUUAGUAAUUUAUGUUUUGAUGAGGGAUGAUUAAUGAUUUGGGAAUUUAUGUUUACGAAAUUAUGUUUGCGAAUUGUGAUUCUAAUAAGUAAUUUAUGUUUUGUAAUUGAAAAAUAAAUUGGGACAUUUUGCAGAUAAUGGAACGAUUUUUUCAACCAAAACGAAAGUCUAUACCCAAUUCUUCUACUUCUAGUUGUGCACCUAGUCCCGCCACUGAUUCUAGUUGAGCAUAAGAGUUAUUGAAUAACACAAAGAAGUCUUGGGUUCAAUUCAAUGUAGAUGAUCUUGUGUCGAGUCAUAUGAUCUCAUCAAAGAUUAUGUUAGGAUGGCAUACUUGGAUAAAGGUCAUUGUCAAUCAUAAGGACAUGAUUUUCUAAGAAGAUCGGUGGGGAAUGAUAAUAGAUGUUUUCGGAAAGAAUGGUUCUCCAAAUUUUAUAGGUUGGAAUACAGUAUAGAAAAUGAUGCGGCGUAUUGUUUGCAUUGCUACUUGUUCAAACUCCAUAGAGGAGGGGUCAAGGGGGUGGACAUAUAUUUACUAAGACCGGCUUUAGGGAUUGGAAGCAGAAAAAGACAUUGAAUGAUCAUGUCGAUCUUUUUGAUAGUGCUCAUAAUUAAGCUUUUGCAAAGUGUACUAACUUGAUGAAUCAAAAGCAAAGUAUCUCCUACGUUAUUUUUAGCCAAAGUUGUAGUCAACAACAAAGUUAUAGGACUAAGUUGACUGUGGUGCUAGAUUGUACUAGACUUCUCUUGAUGCAAAGAUUGUCAUUUCGUGGUCAUGAUGAAUCCACAUGCUAUGUAUGUUCAUUGCUUUGCUCACCAGCUUCAGUUGACAAUUGUAUCUGUAGCACGUAGGAAUUGUAUGCUCGGUGAUUUUUUUGACAUACUUGCUAUUAUUGUGAAUUUGGUUGGUGCAUCAUGUAAGCAUAUAGAUGCUCUUCAAAUAAGUUAUCAAGCUAAUAUUCUGGAGAAGCUUAAUAUUGGGGAACUUACUUGUGGAAGUGGUUAGUUUCAAGAUAUGAGUUUGGCACGCCCAGGUGAUACUAGGUGGGGCUCACAUCUAUUGACAAUUACUCAUUUCAUUAAUAUGCUUAAUGCUAUCAUAGAUGUUCUUGAAAAUAUAUCGGAAGAUGACGUACAUUUAGAUCAAAAAUCUUUAGCCGUAAGACAGAUGAAAAGCUAUGCAAGAUUUUGAGUUUGUGUUCAAUCUCUACUUUAUGUUUGAAAUUCUAGCAAUUACAGACGACAUUUCACAAGCCUUACAGAAAAAGGAUCAGGAUAUUCAGAAUGCUAUGAGGUUAUUGAAUUUGUGUAAGUGUGCAUUACAGAACUUGAGAGAGAAUGGUUGGGAUACUUUGUUGAGUAGGGUGAUUGAGUUUUGUGUUGAUAGACAUGUUUUAGUGUUCAAUAUGGAGGAUAUUGUACUAGUGAAAGGUCGACCUAGGCGUGUAGCUCAGCAGGUGACUUAUUUUCAUCGUUUUUAUGUUGAUUUGUAUUGUCAUAGGAUAGACUCAAUCUUGCAAGAGUUGAAUGAUCAUUUUCCAGAAACAACUACUGAGCUCUUUACUUGCAUUUCAUGUUUAAGUCCAAGAGAUUCAUUUGCAGCUUUCGAUAAGGAUAAAUUGCUACGUCUUGCUCAGUCCUAUCCGUUGGACUUCAAUAGUGAAGAGUUUUUAUUACUUAGAACUCAGCUUGAUAAGUUUCUUUUGCUUGUGAAAAAAGACGAAACUUUAUUUAAUCUCAAUAGCAUAUCUUGUGUAGCUCAGAAGUUGGUUGAAACUAGAAGUUCCUGUUAUUUUUCAUUGGUUUAUAGGCUUCUCACCUUGGCUUUGAUAUUACCUGUGGCAACUGCAAGUGUUGAAAGGGUAUCUUCUUCUAUGAAUCUAAUCAAGAAUGAUUUGCCCAACAAAAUGGGAGAUGGCUGGUUGAAUGACAAUUUGGUGGUUUAAGUAGAGAAAGCUAUUUUUAAAAAACUACAGAAGGAGACAAUAUUGCAACAUUUUCAAGUCAUGAGACCCCAUAGAAUGCAAUUGUCUAUAUUUACAAUUACAGAGUGACUGAGUAAGGUUGUAUCGUAUAUUUUUUUACUAUUUCGGGUUGUAUUGAAGUAUAAUUUUAUAUGUAUACGAUUUUGACGUUUUAGUUCAUUAUAUAUAUAUAUAUUGAAUAACUUUUAAUAUUAUGUAACCAAAUUAUAUUAAACGAUCGGACUAUUAUAUGGUCGAUGGUCGAUGGUCAACAGUCAACCCACCCUAGCUGGACUUCCAUUUUAAAUUCGUUGUUGUUUACAAGUCUAACAUUUAAUCUUAAAUUCUUUACCAACUUUAAUUGUAUGUAUACUUAAAUCAAAUAACAAUUUAAAUGCUCACACCAAGGAAAAAACUAGGAAAUAUUAAGGAAAGAUAAACUAGCAUCUUUUAAAAUCUAAAUAUAAGUUGCAUAAUUAUUUAGAACUAGAAACUCUUCAAAUGUGACAAAAACAUAAAUUAAGCACCUCUCUUUUGGAUACUUCACAAUCCACGUAAAUACCACUUUCUUGACCAUCCUUUAAUUUGAAAGAUUUGUUAACAUAGAAGGUGUGAGCUUUAAAAUUUAGUAGGACUAAUAUCACAUUGUGCACCCUUUUGGUCAUAAACAUAUAUACAUAUAAAAAAAAGUUAUGGGAAAGAAUUUAACAUUUCACUUAGAUGAAUACCGACAAAUUCAUGAUUUCGAAGAAUCCAUUGGGGUCGUAGAAACCGGUUAUGGCCAUACAUAAACUUCUCUAUUCAUUAUAUAUAUAUAUAUAUAUAUAUAUAUAUAUAUAUAAUGGACGCUGUUCAUUUCGAUUUUUUCGUAUAAAAAGGAAAUAUUGAAUGAAUUGAUCAUAAAUUAUGAGAUUUUUUUUUUUUGAAACUCAAAAAAUGUGCACAUAUCUUGCUAUUUUGUAUUUUAUUUAUUAGUAUAUCCUUAUUUGGUAUCUAUAUCCAUCUUUUACAGUAUUGUCGUUUAAUUUUUUAUAGUUUAUAACCAUUCUUGUUUUUCCUCUAGACGGUCUUAUUACUUUUAAAUCUAAUAAUUAUUUAAUCUGUAUGUUAAAAUCUUCUAUAUCUUGAUUCAUAUGUUUUAGUUCUGCCGUUCUAAUUUUUAUAUUUUUGACUUCGUAAUUAAAGUAAAUUCUUUUCAUAUCUUAUCUUGUUUAUAAUUUUCGUUUACUUUAGUUAUUUUUCGGGUAAGGCCUAAAAGGGGAAACACCAAGUAAGCAAUUAAUUUAUUAACAAAUAAUAUUUUACCAAAUAGAUAUAGUGAUAAAAAGAAGAAAAAAAUUGUAAAUAUACUAGCGGAAAAUACAAGAUAUGGCUCCUUCAUAAAUUAAAAUACGAUGAUAAGUUAGAAUUACAAUGUCAUUAUUUACACGAGGGGGUAUGGAAAUGAAUUGAACUAUUAAGGGAUGGGAUGAUGAUGAAGCUUGAGAGGGGGUUUGCAUGGUCUGUCUAAUUCUUUCGGUACAAAUUCGGGAGCAAGACUUCAAAGAAAAUUUUGAAAAUGACAAGUCAGAAAAUUUUCUACGUAAAUACCAAUUAGAGUGACUAGAAACUAAUAAAAUAUUCGGGUGACAAUUACUAAGGGUGGCUAACAAGACAUCUUCUAAGAUAGAUAGUAUAGACAAAAUUUUAGAAUUAGCUAAAAAGAUUCAAAUAAUAGGAGAAAACCCUAUAAAACAUUGGGAUAAAAAUAAAAUAGAAGCUAAUUGGUAUUUACAUAGAAAAUUUUCUUACUUGUCAUUUUCAAAAUUUUUAUUUUUGAAGUCUUGCUCUAACUAGUUCUACUGAAAUUUAUUUUUCAGAGAAAAAAAGAGUAAGUUCGGAUUUGAUGAGAGAUAUAAUGAAAAAGUGAUUUUCUCUUCUUGUAACCUCCUUUUUAGUAAAAAAACUAAAUGUGAGAGUUAUAUUAUUAUUAAUCUUGUUAAAUUAAGUCUUUGACUAGGAAUUUAAAGAGUUUUAGCCCAUUAAAAAAAAUUCUUAUGAAAAGAUUUAUAAAACAUUUACAUAAUGAAAAAUAGAUGAAAAUGAACUAUUCAUGUAUUUGUAACUUAUUUCUAUGAAUGCCUACUAAUAGAACAAUUAUUCGAUAUAAUUAACUUGAUAUAUAAUUAUUCUUAAUGUGUAAAAUAAGGAUUUUUUAAUUGAAAAAUAAUUUUAUAAAAAUAUUUUAUAAAAACAUUUGCAUGGUGAUUUGAACCUAAGUUGUCUUGUGAUAUACCAUGCAGAUGAUCAUUAUGACAACCAAGUUAUUCAUUAAAUCUUUAUAAUCAAAUAUACUUAUAAUUAAUGAUUUAAAUUGUUAGGUUUUUAAAUAACUUAUAACUUGACCUUUCAUAACCUUAAAUGGAAUGAACUUUCAUAACUCCUUUCUUAAAUGAGCUAAUAGAAAAUUAUGUACCUUACACAUCUACAUCCAGUGAAUGGAGAUAAAAACUAACCUCAAAGGGAAAAAUCCCAAAUUGAGGGGGGGGGGGGGGGGGGGUCCCAGAAAUGAUUUGGGAACAAAUUCAUCUGGUUGAUUGGUGUAGCAACUAAAAUUUCUUGUUGAAUUCUAAGUUGCUAAUUUUUAUUUUAUUUAUUUAUUUAUUUUUUAGAUCGAUUUCUCCCUUCGCAAAUUUCUUCAAUUACCAUUCAAGAAUCCAAAAAUCAUCUAUCAAAAUAUUCCAACUACAAGUUUCAAUUUUUCUCUUUAGAAUUUUAGUCAGUGCAUUGUGCAGGACAAAAUGUUGAUCCCUCCAUGGCCUGAACAACAGUUGACCAUCGCUUUCUUCACCGUUUGUCGUACUCAUAGCACGGCCAAAAUUCUGUGUUGGUGGAAACGGAAGAUUCGGUACCAAACCAAUGUUGGAAAAAAUGAAUUGAGUGGCUAACUUUGACACAAAAUUUGAGUGAGACCCGAUUGGUUAUUUUGGAAGUUCAAUUGGAAGUUCAAAAUUGAUUUGCAUUCUCCUCCGUAAGAACAUCGAAAUCAUGUGUUUACUUACCAAAAAUGAUGUUUGGGUGAAUGAGAAAUUGGAACUCAAAGUUUGCCAAUUUAAAGGAGUUUAUGUUGUUGGAAGGAAACUAUUUAAUAUUGUCCAACAUAGGAAAUUAUGGAAACAAAUAACACCUUAUAUAAGAUUGCACUUUGAAAUGGUGUGAUCAUAUGUAGUAUAGAGGCUCUCUUUACGUUUGCGGUCAAGGGGGCAAAUCGAACCGAAAUAAGCUUUGGAUGUGAAAAUUGACCUCUUAGAAGAGCCUACGUUUUGCUAAUUUUUUUCCUCCAACUGACCGUUUGAAUUUCUAAACUGCCGAAACUCCAAUAUUCAUUGUCAUUAUAUACGAGUUAAUGGUAUUCAUGAUGUUGAGCUUAUAUAAGCAACUCGAUUUCUAACAAUUCUACAUAAGAAGAAAUAUAAGGGAAACAACUAUACAACAUACAGUUUCUGUACAUAUUCACAUAACACAAUUUCUCAUAUUUUGGUCUACAUACUCCAUAAUCAUACAACUAGUGAUAUCGUUCAGACAAAUUCAGUUCGAUAGAGUAGUAUUUGAUGUGCUCAAAUUCUAUUGUUCUCCAUUGUUCACGAGAGACAGACAUUCGUUUUGAUCCUCAAGCACCUACAGUGAGAGGACAAAUCUGUUGUAAGGAAAUUGUGUUCACACAGGCCUCGGUUAAAAUAUUUUUUGAUUUUAGCUAAUUAGUUUAUUUGUUCUGUUUAUUUGGUCAACUAGAAUAAUUUGUUCAGGUUAAUUUUUUUUUUGUUUAUUUCAAUUUAAUCUAUUAUAUUUUGGGUAGAAUUCAAGUUCAAUGCAUAUAUGGUAAAUUGUUGCAUAUACGAUAAGCUGUUACAAAUAUGGUAAGUUGCAUAUACAGUAUGCGUAAAUACAGUAUACUGCAUAUAUGAUGUGUGUAAAUUCGAUAUCUAAAUUGCAUAUACGCUAUGUGUUAAUCCGGUAUUCAUUCCCAACCUUUUAGUCCAACAAACUCAAAACAUAUUAAAGAAAAAAAUUGGUUUUUUAUAUUAUUGAUUUAGAAACUAAUUUUCCGUUUGUCUUUCAGAAAUGGCAACCUAUCCAAUCAACAUGGAUCUGUCCCAAACUGUUGCUACUGAAAAUCAGCUUGUGGGCUCUGCUGUGGCUCAAAGGUCAAGUUAGACUAUGGCUCAAACUGUGGCUAAAUUGUCAAGUCAUGCUGUGAGUCAAACUGUGGCUCCAACAACUGGUCAUACUGUUACUAUUCCGAUUAAUCAUAAAGAAAAGUCAGAGAAAUUGAAUGGCUUGAAUUUCAAGAGGUGGCAGCAGAAAAUACUAUUUUACUUGACCACCUGAAUUUUGCGAGAUUCUUAAUAGAAACUACUCCAAAACUCAAUGAGGGUGAGGGAGAUAUUCAAGCGAUCAGUGUGGUUGAUGCUUGGAAACAUACUGAUUUUUUAUGCCGAAACUAUAUCAUGAACAACUUUGUAGACUGUCUAUCCAACAUGUAUAGUACUUUGAAAAUUAGUAAGGAGCUACGGGAGUCAUUGGAUCGAAAAUAUAAGACUGAGGAUGCCGAGACCGAGAAAUUCAUUGUUGGCCGAUUCUUGGAUUAUAAGAUGGACUCUAAAACAGUAAUCAAUUAAGUACAAGAACUCUAUGUGAUUCUUCAUGAGAUUCAUGCCAAAGGGAUGAUUUUGAGUGAAACCUUCCUAGGGCUGCAACUAUUGAAAAAUUAUACCCCACGUAGAAAGAUUUCAAGAAUUACCUGAAACACAAACGAAAAGAAAUGAACGUCAAAGAAUUGAUUAUUAGAUUUCAAAUUGAAGAAGACAAAAGAAGUUCAAAAAAGGAGGAGUUCAAUCCUAAUGUGGCUAAAGCCAAUGUUGAGUAUGAUCAAAGUUUUAAGACUUCAAAAAAUAAGUUUAGGACAUCUGGUGGCAAUGGUACUAAGCCGAGCCGAAAGGAGGCAUUUCAAAGAAGAAAUUUCAAGGAAAAAUACUUCAAAGUAGGUCACAAGUCUUAGGAGUACAGAUUGCCAAAGAAGAAUAAUAAAGAAGCAAAUGUGGUCAACUACAUGGUACAUGAUGUAUCGAAAAUAAAUCACACAACAGUCAUUUCUAAAGUGAACAUGGUGGGUUCUAACCAAAAACAAUAGUAGAUUGACACCAAUGCUACACAACAUGUGUGAUCUGAUAAAGAGUUGUUUGUUGUGUUCGAAGCAAUUGAAAAUAGAGAGAAGUUGUUCAUGGAAAAUUCAACAACUUUUGAAAUCAAGGAUCAAGGAAAGGUGGUUUUGAAGAUG